rnacentral:rRNA from 1 species
GAUGAACGCUGGCGGCGUGCCUAAUACAUGCAAGUCGAGCGAAGCGGGGACGGGUGAGUAACACGUGGAUAACCUCCUAUAAGACUGGGAUAACUUCGGGAACCCUGAGCAAACCCGGAAACUUAUCGAUGGAUCUGCGCUGCAUUAGCUAGUUGGUAAGGUAACGGCUGACCAAGGCAACGAUGCAUAGCGGACCUGAGAGGGUGAUCGGCCACACUGGAACUGAGACACGGCCCAGACUCCUACGGGAGGCAGCAGUGGGGAAUCUUCCGCAAUGGGCGAAAGCCUGACGGAGCAACGCCGCGUGAGUGAUGAAGGCCUUCGGAUCGUAAAACUCUGUUAGUAGGGAAGCGGUACCUAAACAGAAAGCCACGGCUAACUACGUGCCAGCAGCCGCGGUAAUAC